GCCCGGAUGGCGAAACUGGUAGACGCAGCAGACUUAAAAUCUGCCGGCCAUUACGGCCGUGCCGGUUCGAUUCCGGCUCCGGGCA
rnacentral:tRNA from 1 species